UUGUAUAUAUUCGUGGCGCUUGUGUACGCGCCCGCGUGUAGGUGGCGUUUUUCCUUUUACUGCUACGAGGGUCGUCGUCCUUCCUUUUAUCCUUUGGACUUGGCGGCGGUGGUGUGUUUGGUGAGCGGGGUGUUUGGUGGUCUUCGGCUCCGUGUUCGGUGCCUGCCUCUUUGGAGGGAGGGGGUCAGAUGCCUGCCUCUUCGCCAGGGGUGGGCGGCGGGUCUGCUGUUGCCGGUUUCUUCUUCCUCUGCAUCAAUUUCUUGCGAGGGAUGUUCUGGGGUGCGUCUGAUGCGUUGCUGUUGUACAGGUAAAUGACUCCGGUGCGUGGGGAUACAUGGCGGUCGCUAUGCGCACUGCACAAGGGAUGCUGGUCAGUAUUAGUUUGAUGCCUCUGUUCGUGGUGCAAAGCAGUGUUGUCUUUCUAAAAAGGGCAUGUUUCAUCAGCAGCUUUGCUAAAGACAUAUGUAGACGUUGUUGAUGUGUGCAAGGAGCGUGGCCAGCCCCAGGCAUGUGCGUUGGUUGUUUGGGACCCUGCGUGGAGUGCUAUGCUUGGUGAUGUACAGAAUACAGUCAAGAAAAACUGCAAAAGUGUACAUCUACUGUUGAUUUAUGCAUAUAGCUGAUAUUAUCAGACAUAGGCCUUCUUUAUUAUCAUGAUCUAUGCAUCAUGGCUACGUGCAUCUCUCAUUUAGUUGGUUCCUUUUUGGUAGGUCUCAAUGCGAUUCAAUUCAGUAAAACAAAUGUGCUCUACGACAUUGUUUCCAUGCGACAGAACAACAUUCAAGAGGAUCGGAGCUGGACUGCUGAUAGGUAUUUAUACGAUUCUUCAGAUUAUGUUACCCUUUGAUAUGAUCCUCCAUGGAGCGAAAUUUAUCUCCAUAGGUCACAAAAAGCAGAUUUGAUUGGUUCUAAUGAGGUUGCUGCUAUGAGUGGUCUCUUCAAAGGUAAGUGUUGUGAUUUUGUGGCGGAUGUUUGCAGGACUGAAGGAGGUUUGAUGAAUCGAUUCCUUACAUUAAAAAAUGUUGACUUAUUACUAUCACGCUUUUAAUUGAUCUAUUUUAGCAUAGGAAGGUUCAUCUGUUUUUGCAAGAAAGGUUCAUUGGUUGCUCAUGGUUUUGUAUGGUUGGGCUCGCUCAAGCAAUAGGAAGCACAUUGUCUUGGUAGUGAAUCCCACAGUUGUCAGCAAUGAUUUACAACAGGCUAUCGUCGAACCCAAAAAAGUAGUGUAAGGAUGCCAGGUUGAUGAUUUUCUGCCAUAAAUAGACACUCUUCCCUCUAGACCAUCUCAGGAUUGAAUAAAUGUUCGCUAUGUUUUCUGAGGAAUAAAUGACAUCCCUAUUGCGCUUCUUCUCAUAUGUGUUUCCUUUAUUAUUACAGUAGUCUGUUAGUAUGGAAA